CUCACAUGCUCCCUCCCCUCCCUUUUAAUCCCUCUCCAAGCCAAGCAAACCCUAGCCCUCUCCCCUCCACGCCGCCGCCACCUACCUCCCUCCACCCUUUCUCUCUUCACUUCUCUGUGAGCAAACGAAACAGGAGAAAAACUCCACUGCCACCAUCGUCCUCUCCAUGGCGCCGGUGCUCCAGGCCGCCCCUCGAAGAACUGAGACCAUCCAGAGCUCCGCCUCAUCGUCCUUUACGUCCUUGUACAAGGAAUCGAUCCGGGAGGCCUUCAAUCAUCGCCAAUUCGAAGUUUCCCUCGCGCGGGACGCUGCCUUUCUUCUUCGAUUUCGGCCGCCCUACGUCUUCUCCGACCUCAUGGACCCUCCAAUCAGCUUCACGGUGAACUCCUUGUUCUCCUGGACAUCUUCUUCUUCUCCGUCGUGCUCUCGUUCGAUCCAACGAUGAUGGCCACCGUUUUGCCCGCAGGUCCUCGCUGGCGGCGUCUCUCCGGUGACCCCCUAGACUCGGCACCGCCACCAUCUGGUUCCCUGCGUUGAGGCGCAUCCCCGAUGCCUACUUCCUCAUCCCAGUUCGCUCGGAAGCCUCAGAUCGAAACUCGUCUGCAAGCUCAGCCGUGGCAGACUCUUCCCAGAUCUUCCGCGUCGGCCUGGGUUAAAAGGCUGCGCAACCCAUUCGAUCCAACAACAGAUGCAUCAGCCCAUCUGAUCUGGCGUCCCAUGGGCCUGGCCCGAGAUCAGCCGGCUCAGUCCAUCGCCCGCCUUGCGACCAGAAGCUAUCCGCCGCCCGCAGCAGGCCAGAUCGGGCCCAUGACAGUGCAGCAUUUGCUUCUUCCCGGAUAAGAUCGCGAAGUGGUGUGGUGAGAUACGACAAGUUCUUCUGCAGCUUUUCACAGGCGAGCCCCCUCUCUUCGCCUAUUUUACUCUCUCCCUCGCAUUGCUAUCCCUAUGAUGCGAUUCUUUAUCGAGUCACGUGUCCUAUUCCACUUGUUUACCAUAAUACUCCUAUAUGUAUCAUUCCUUACCCAUAGCCAUUGCUUGAUGUUUGAGCCUUGCGAGUCGUAGGCGUGUUUAGGCUUUGUUGUUUAUCUCGAUCUGUUAUCGGGAUAUGUUGGGUUGUUGGAAGGUUAUCACAUGCUAUAUUAGUUGUUGGAGAUACACAUGCUUUAUUUUAUUGUUAACAACUAAAAUUGUAAGCAGAGGCAUCUGUGAGCCCCUUUGCGAAAGCAUCGGAACUUUGACUUGCUAAUGUCCCCUAGGACCCGAGUUCUUGUUAUCUGUUCCGAGAUUGAGCGCUCUACCCGUACGUGGGGGAGUGGGACCCCCAUCACCCACUACCUUUCCUCGAGUCUGUUUAUUGGGAGCCACAACCUUGGUUUUAUUUGCCCAUAUGCACGAUGCACGUUUUACUUCCUGUUGCCUUCGGGUGUUUAUAUUAUGUACUGUACUCAUAUCGUGGAACGAUUAGCGACAGCAAGUUGUUCACACUUAGCUUAGCCGUUGACACAAACCUCUGGGUCCGUAUCGGAGUACGGCCGAACUUCGUCACGGGUAGCUUAGCGGGGUGGCUCCCCUUAAACUUUCUCUUGCAUUGGGAACGGUCUUGAUGUGAGACUCCAUCUGUAGUAAGUGGGUUCGAGCAUGCGUAUGGUUACAUUUGGGCAACCCCUGCAGGGUGUACAUCUUAUCGAUAAGCCGUGUCCGCGGUUAUGGAUGACUUGGAAUUGUAUAGCUUGAUCAUAGAACAACUUACACUGUUAUCUUAUUGCUAAUAAUCUGCUAAUAACUUGCGUAGUAAUAUAGCAUUACUACAACCGAUACCCAAUAAAACUUGUCCACCGUUGAGUGCCUUUUACAUUGCAUCUUCGCAAUUGUUGAAGGGGAUAUGUGUAAUCGGCUGGGUUAUGUUUGUGUAGUAUUUUAUCUGUUACCUUAUGCGCUCUCUCACCUUCUCUGAUUAGGCGAAUGUUGUGGAGUGUCUCUAUAGGUUUUUAGUGCUUGCGCUGCCGCUUAA